GACAGGGUUCAGACCAGGCUGAGGAAUAGAGCACAUCUCCAACGCCAGGAACCAGCUCUCCAGUGCAGGAUGUCUGAAAAUCAAGGGAUUUGGUACCUUGUCAUUUGAAGACACUUCUGUCAUCAGAGGCUCCUCAUCCAUGAAGAGAUCCCAUCAGCCUGAUGCUCCUCCUGCUUCUGCUGCUGCUCCAGCUUUAUUUCAUUGUCCCGGCACAACAAGAUGCUCAGCAGGUCCACACAGAGAUCAACAAGCUGAGGACCCAAAGUUUUACCAAGCUAUGAAAACAAAGACAUGUUGGAAGUGAAGAAAAGAGGAGGAUGGGAGCAGACAGGUAAUUAUACAGCAGGAAUAGGAGUUAACUAAGAACUACUUAGAUUACAACCUCUUCUGGGGGAAGGAACCACCCCCCUAUGUAGAAACCUGAUUCUAAGAGAAGUCUCAGGUUGCCAAAUAAAUAGUGAUAGAAUUUCAUUUAUACAUAUAUAUAUUCAUUUAUACAUUAUAUAUAUGACAUUUGGAGGUACACAGGCCAGUGAAUUUUACUCUGUGCAAAGGCUUCCUGGGGAGACCCGGGAGCUGGAUUAAAAUCUCGAGAUUAUUUGCACUCACACCGAUCAGCAAGGUAACCCAUGCAAAGUAAAUCCAAAGCAAAUCCUCAAUAAUAAGAACUGGCAUUUGUUUACAAAUUACAUGCAGUUUUGUACAGUGCUGUGCAGCCUCAGAGACAAGCACAGAAAAAAGAGCUACAGAACUGGAACCUAAGUUUGAACAGCUAAGUCAUUUGUACCUUCUACAUGAAAAUAAAUCAAACAUAACCACAAUAUUAUUACAAUAUUGCUCUUA